UAGCAAGUCGAACGGAAGUCGUCAUAAUGAUUCUGAUAUGGAUAUGAAGAUUUAUCAGAUUUGAAAUUGAAGUUGAUUUAUGACAAUGGCUUUAGUGGCGGACUGGUGAGUAACGCGUAAGCAAUCUGCCUAUUAGAGGGGAAUAACAGUGAGAAAUCAUUGCUAAUACCGCAUAUGCCAUAGUUAUCACAUGAUAGUAGUGGGAAAGGAGUAAUCCGCUAAUAGAUGAGCUUGCGUCUGAUUAGCUAGUUGGUGGGGUAACGGCCUACCAAGGCGACGAUCAGUAGCCGGACUGAGAGGUUGAACGGCCACAUUGGGACUGAGAUACGGCCCAGACUCCUACGGGAGGCAGCAGUCGGGAAUAUUGCGCAAUGGAGGAAACUCUGACGCAGUGACGCCGCGUAUAGGAUGAAGGUUUUCGGAUUGUAAACUAUUGUCGUUAGGGAAGAUAAAAGACAGUACCUAAGGAGGAAGCUCCGGCUAACUACGUGCCAGCAGCUGC
rnacentral:rRNA from 1 species